rnacentral:rRNA from 1 species
UACGUAGGGGGCAAGCGUUGGUCCGGAUUCAUUGGGCGUAAAGAGCGUGUAGGCGGCCAGAUAGGUCGGUUGUGAAAACUGGAGGCUCAACCUCCAGACGUCGACCGAAACCCUCUGGCUAGAGUCCGGAAGAGGAGAAUGGAAUUCCUGGUGUAGCGGUGAAAUGCGCAGAUAUCAGGAAGAACACCCGUGGCGAAGGCGGUUCUCUGGGACGGUACUGACGCUGAGACGCGAAAGCGUGGGGAGCGAACAGG